rnacentral:tRNA from 1 species
AGGAUAGUAGUUAAAAAUAACAUUUGGGUUGCAUUCAAAAAGUAUUGAUCUAUUCAAUCUAUCUUG